rnacentral:lncRNA from 1 species
UUCCCUUCAGGGUUUGGAGGCUGCUCUGAACUCCGUUAGGUCUUCUCUCACUAUCUUUUUCCUCAGGGUUUUGUUUCAAGGAAACCUCAGAGUAUUUUGCUUCUCUUCCUUUUUUUUCUUCCUUGUUUCAAUGAAACUCUAGUAUUUAUAGGCUAAUAUUGAUAGCUUAGUGGGCUUUUGAGAGAGGUCCAAGUCUGAGAUUUUUUUCUUUUAUUUACUUAUUU